GUUUCAAUGCUCUUUUGGAUUUUUUCAAAGACAUCAGUUUGAAUUUGUCAGAAAUUGAGUUAGUUGUUCACUCGUGCGAUCUGGUAUGAAAAAGAUUUUUCAACUAAUUAUGUACGGUGUAUAGGGAAUAUUAGUCUCCUCCUGUAAUGAAUGUUGAUAUUGAGAAGUUCUGAACGGUAUGACAAUUUUAUGUAUAAAUAUUUGGGUGCUUUUUCGGUGAUGAUUUUAUGAUAUAGACAAGCAGCAUGUGAUAAUUGUCGUUGUGUCAAAUUGAGCCAGUUGGUAUCUUUAUGUUUAUGUGACGUUUAAAUUUCAAGUUUGAAUCAAGAAUGACACCUGAAUUUUUUGGAUGUUCAGUCGGUGCAAUCACAUCCCUGUCUACAGUUAAUUUGAAGCCACUCAAUUCUCUCUUAGCCCCGAACAUCAAAACUGAACUUUUGCUAGCAUUGCUUUGAAGAGAAUGCUGCGCAGAAGUAGAAAUCAACAAGGUUAUGUCUUCAUUUAGCAUCUGCAUUGCGGUAUUCAUGUCCGAUGGGUGGAACGGAAGUUGUAUUUAUGUAUCAUCGGCGUAUAGGUAUAUUUUGGAGUAUUCAACACAAAAUACGACCCCGACAGCCGUUUCGUUUGUUCCCCCACUAAAGAUGAAGUCCAUCGACUGUUGGUAGCUCUCCACGAAUCAAGAUAUGGUAACAGAAACCUCGCAGUUGAUUUCUGUAAUAGAAAGCGGCCAGCCUACGCUGUUUUCACGAACAUUCGUUAUCUAGGAAAAUGAAAAUUCAUUACGUCCAAUUUAUGAACUUUUGAUGAAACAACGGACAUACCAGGUAUCCUGGAGUGAUGAUUUCAGAACGUUUUCAAUUUGUUUCCAUUUCUAUUUUAUAUUUACCUAACAGGUAUUUAUUGAUACCAAAAUCUCUAAAAAAUUGUGAAAUAUAAAUUUAACAGGGCCUGAUUAGGUAUAUAAAAUGUAUUUAUAUUUUAGCUUUCAAAACGAAUAAUACCAUUUCUCGUCCAUGAAGUCAAAAAGCAACAAAAACACAGCAUCGUCCUAGUUUUUUUCAAGGUAAAAUUCAUUAUCUCCAAGGAAAAUACACAUUCUGUAUGCGAAUUCGAAUCGAAAUAUUUGGAAAUGGAUAAUUUUGUAAGCCAUUCUGAAAAUACAAAUGAUUUUACGAUAAGUGAUAUAUUUUACUGAUGAACUGGAUAUUUCACCACCAAUAUUUUUUGUUUACUAAUGAGUUGUUUAGGAAAUUAUAAUUUUGAAACAAUCGUAACAGCAUUAAGAUUUUAUCAGUAGUAAUCUCAAAAUUACAUCGAUAAAUUUCCCUAUUCAACGAAAACUUCAGCUGUUGUUCAGUUAUACCAUGAGAGCAAACAAUAUCAUAAAAGUAGGAGUGCGUAGGAUGAGUGGUUUUAACGAUUGUUAAUUGCUCAAUUGGUAUUGCUCGAAAGUUUGAGUUCGAAAAAAAGUAAGUCGUAUUUGUCAACAAUACUUAACAUGUUGAUGCGACUAGAUACAUCACAAAUACGUCGCUUAUUUUUUUCGCUUUCAUUCACAUUCAGAAUAACGUUUUCAAUCUAAUUAAAAAUGUCUUAUUAUACAAAUAAGUUUCGAUUGUUAUCUUGAGAUUUCUGGAUAUCAUAUAUAAAUUGUUGUUAUUCAAGGAGAAAUUGCAAUUGAAUGAUUAAUGUAUUAUUUUCAUGAGGUAAUAUGUAAUAGUGAAGUGUUGCAAUUCAUUUUUCAUUUCAGUUUAGGAUCUAGUUACUGUCAUAAUCAUUAUAUCAAAUUGAACCUGUAAAUUCCGGUUUGAAUAUAUGAUUCCUUUGGUUCAAUCUGAUAAGGACAGUGACAGUGAUUGGAUCCAUAACUAUGCCCCAAAAGUCAAGUAUGAUUCAAGAAUAACACCUAGAUAUUAGUUUCAAGACUGUCAGUUUUAUCACCCUCCAUUUCACCUAAUUUUAUCGGUUUAGAGGAAAUAUACAAUGGAAGAACAUUCAUAAAAUAUCAAAUUUGGCCAUUCUUCAGUGAAAACUUUGAAAACUGUGACAACCUCAACAAUGUUGAAAUUCGAAAUCACAGAGUGUAGCAGAAAUGGACACACCCCAAAUCUUCUUUUUUAUUAUUUCAGUUUCAACUAUCAACAAAAAGACCGUUGCCUCUAUAUUUUCUAUGGAAGAGCAAAGUUGUCUGUCGCAGCUCUUUGAAAAGAUUCAGAGUACAGAUCCUACCCAUUUGGAAAAAAAAACAUCUCUUCAUUUAUAAAGCAGAUAAAAUGACAACAAUGUUAAAAAAACAUUCGCCCUACUGCAUUUAGCAAAAAGUUGUAUAUAUAGGAAAUUAAGCUAUGGGAAGCCAUGGAACUUGAAAAUCCCCUCAUGAGUGAUCCGUUCUUCUCAUUCACUGAAACGCUAUCUGUGCGUAUUUCUGGAUAUCGUAAGUUGGAAUGUCAGACCUCGUUAAUCCGCAGCUCACUCAAGUUUUGGAUUUUGAUGAUUAUGGUUCGGAGGCUGCCUAACGGAAAAACAGAUUUAUUUGUAUUCUUUCAACAUACAUAAAUGUUGUGUUUUUUGCCGUACAUUGAACAUGUCCCAAAUUCAAACUUUUCUUCUUUCUAGCCAAUAUUCUAUAAAGACGAGGUUUCGGGGUAAUCCAAAUAAAUAUACAUUACAGAAUAAUAAUCAUUAUAGAAUCAUAUUUGACAAUGAAAUUCACCAUGAAACAUUUUCAACCACUUCUAAACAAACGAAGAAUAUUAUCUUUAGGUUCUAGCCACUAUUCGUGAGGUAAUAAGUAGUGAGGGGCCAAAGUUGUGGAAGCUUCAUCUGGACAAUAAUACAGCCCAUAAUGCACUGAUUGUUAGGUCAUCAUUUGACUUUGAACAUUCACCAUACCCACCAGAUUCAGUUCCGUUUGACUUUCAAGAGUUUCAGAAAGUGAAGGAGCUGUAAAGAAAAAAUGAUGGAGACUAUGAACAUACUUUCAGAAAAUAACCUACAAAACUAUUUUGGAUGAUGGCAAAUUUGAAUAAAAAGUUGUAAAGAGAGUGAAGGAGAAUAAAUUGAAGGAGAUGAGGUAAAAGUUGUAAAAGAAAGAACUUCAAGAGAGUUUAACCACAUGUCAUGUUCAUAUUGAGUAUGAUAAAAGUAAUAUGUUUAUCACAUAAAUGAAAAUGCCAGUUUUCAAAAUUAUCUGAUUUUUGCUUGAUCAGAUCAAUACGAAGCUAAUUGUAAAAAACCUCUUUAUCUUCUUCCUUUGUAACCAAUUAUAAAUGUGAAUUAUUAUACAUUCUUGUCACAGUAUCAGCAUAAUAAAUGAUAUAUCACGUAUUUUUCUUUGUGAAAUGAAUAAAAUGAAAACGGUAAUCUGAUAUUAUCAGGAUAAUAGAUGUAAAAUGUAUUCAAGCGACCCAGAAAGUUUUCAAUUCAUACCCAACGUAGAAAUAACAUUUUCAAGGGUAACUUGUAGAAAUAGGUCAGAGAUUUUGCUUAGUCGAAUUCGAAAGCUAAAUUUACUUUCAUUCACGUUCUUGAAUCAGAAAUAGGACAUAACAAUUCAAUUCUACUUAGAAAAUCAAUUUCAGUAUUCACUUUUCAUAACGAAAUAUCAAAUUGCAUACAAUGGCUUUAAGAAAAAACGUUUGUAAAAAUUUGAAGAAUUUACGUAUUUGCUAGGGAAAAGUAACAGUGAAAACAAAAAAUACUACAGGUUUUUGAAACCGAGUUACCACAAUUGUCUUCGAGUGGUGAAUACUCAAUAAUGAACGUUGCUAUCUACGUGCUGAAAAUGUAAUAAUCACAGAUGCUUCAUUACAAGACUUCAACAGGCAUUACGCUCCUAUCGGAAAAAAGUAGUUUUUCCAGUCAAUAUAUUUUGUUUGUCAAAGAAUGAAGUGAAGUCAUGUUCAAACAGGAUUUUCAAAAUCUUGUAACAUAAAUAUUUAUUUCCAUCUGAAACGUUCUGAAAUGUUUCAACUCCAGGAUACUUGGUAGACCAAUGAUUUAAAUGGAAAAAACCCUGAGAGUAUUCAAUAUAUUACUUUGUUUUAGAUCUCAUCUUCAUCUCUUUUUCUGAAAUGGAGUUGAUGAGUAGAAAUCCCAACAAAUUUCAUUUCAACGUAUACCCAUCAUCCGUAAUAAUCUCAUCACAAACUGUGAAAGAAAAACCUUAAAUUGUUUCUAUGGAAUAUAUGAAAUAUGGAUUCUCUCGAUAAAGCUUGAUGUCUCAAUGUUUGCAUGUGAUUUAUCCGAAACAAAGACUGUUCUUAGGUAAUUAUCAUGUACUCAUAUCAGUGUAUCCAAAAACAUGUAUUUAAUCUUAUUAUAGAUGCCAAAUAAAACAAAUAAAUGUUGUUUCCAUUGUUUUUA